AAAAAACCAGUUUUAUCGUUAUCUAGCGAACAGUAAGCUUAAAAAGAGAAGUAUAACUUGAGAUCCAGGCUUCCUGAUCGCCAGUGGAUAUCCUGUCGUUC